UACGGAGGAUCCAAGCGUUAUCCGGAAUCAUUGGGUUUAAAGGGUCCGUAGGCGGUUUAAUAAGUCAGUGGUGAAAGCCCAUCGCUCAACGGUGGAACGGCCAUUGAUACUGUUAAACUUGAAUUAUUAGGAAGUAACUAGAAUAUGUAGUGUAGCGGUGAAAUGCUUAGAGAUUACAUGGAAUACCAAUUGCGAAGGCAGCUCGCUGGGACGUAACUGACGCUGAGACGCGAAAGCGUGGGGAGCAAACAGG
rnacentral:rRNA from 1 species